GUGCUUGAUUCAGCGGCACAUGUACUAAAAUUAGAAUGAUGCAGAGAAGAUUAGCACAGCCCCUGUGCAAGGAGAACAUGCAAAUCCAGGAAGCAUUCCUUAGUUUU